GGUCUGAAGCUCCCGCCUCUCUGAAAGUAAGAGUAACAUGCUCCCAACCCCUGCAAAGCAGUUCAGAGACAGCAGCUCACUUAAUCUUUGCAGCUAUCCUGUGGGUACCGAAACCAUUAUUAUCAAGGCCACUUUACAGACGGAGUCUCACUCUGUUGCCCCAGGUAGAUAGUACAUGGAAUGCAGUGGCGUCAUCAUAGCUCACUGCAACCUCAAACUCCUGGGUUCAAGCCAUCCUCCCACUUCAGCAUCUGAACAGCUGAAACUACAGAUGGAGGAAAGGACCAUGAGCCAAGGAAUAUAGCUCCAGAAACUGGAAAAGCCAAGAAAACCAACUCUCUCCUAGAGUCUCCAAAAGGAAUGCAGCCCUGCCCUCACCUUGAUUAUAGCCUCCAUAAGACCCAUUUUGAACAACUGACAUCCAGAACUGUAAGAGAA